rnacentral:rRNA from 1 species
GGCUCAGGAUGAACGCUAGCUACAGGCUUAACACAUGCAAGUCGAGGGGCAGCAUUGGGAUAGCUUGCUAUCCAGAUGGCGACCGGCGCACGGGUGAGUAACGCGUAUCCAACCUUCCCUAUAGUAGAGAAUAGCCCGGCGAAAGUCGGAUUAAUGCUCUAUGUUGUGUUUUGAGGACAUCUGACGAACACCAAAGGUUCACCGCUAUAGGAUGGGGAUGCGUCUGAUUAGCUUGUUGGCGGGGUAACGGCCCACCAAGGCGACGAUCAGUAGGGGUUCUGAGAGGAAGGUCCCCCACAUUGGUACUGAGACACGGACCAAACUCCUACGGGAGGCAGCAGUGAGGAAUAUUGGUCAAUGGGCGAGAGCCUGAACCAGCCAAGUAGCGUGCAGGAACCGACUGCCCUAUGGGUUGUAAACUGCUUUUAUCAGGGAAUAAAGUGCGGCACGUGUGCCGUUUUGUAUGUACCUGAUGAAUAAGGACCGGCUAAUUCCGUGCCAGCAGCCGC